AUUUAAGUAGUUUAAAUUAAAAAUAUUAAUUUGUGAAAUUAAUGAUAUAAAUAUAUGAGAUAUCUUAGAUA
rnacentral:tRNA from 1 species